rnacentral:misc_RNA from 1 species
GAACGCUGGUGAAAUUCUAUUGUGUCCGUAUUGGCCCAGUUAGAGUAGACCAUUCUGGUGAGACGGUGAGGGCUACCAAAAUGUCUAUUGCACAUGAAGUUCAAGUCCAUUCCAGUGGCUGUGCAAAGGAACCCAGAAGAAAAAUGGAGCAAAGAAACAAACAAUUGAUGUCAAUUUCCCUUCUUUUCUUCCUUGUCCCAAUUGUCAACAGGAUCUUACCUGAGUAUCCAGCACAGAGUCUAGCCAUCAAACACUUUGUGCCCUGGUCAAAUUGUGGCGCUACUAAAAUACUUAGCUGCUUUGGGUAUUAAUCGAUAUCCAAAUAUCACCGGCCAUUGAUGGAUCUGAUGGCAUCUCUACCGGCAUAUGAGAAAGUGAUCCUGGUUGGUC